rnacentral:rRNA from 1 species
UGAUUUUACCCCCUACACCAAGAAUUCCACCUACCUCUCCCACACUCUAGAAUAGUAGUUUCAAAUGCAGUUCUAUGGUUAAGCCAUAGGAUUUCACACCUGACUGACAUAUCCCGCCUACGCGCUCUUUACGCCCAGUGAUUCCGAGUAACGCUUGCACCCUCCGUAUUACCGCGGCUGCUGGCACGGAGUUAGCCGGUGCUUAUUCGUUAGAUACCGUCAUUAUCUUCUCUAACAAAAGGAGUUUACAAUCCUAAAACCUUCAUCCUCCACGCGGCGUUGCUGCUUCAGGGUUUCCCCCAUUGAGCAAUAUUCCCUACUGCUGCCUCCCGUAGGAGUCUGGACCGUGUCUCAGUUCCAGUGUGUCCGUUCACCCUCUCAGGCCGACC